rnacentral:snRNA from 1 species
AGAGUUUAGGAUUGAUUUAGUUGAUCUGAUUGGCUAGGCGGGUAUCUCCUUUCUCCCUCACUGCUCCACUCAAGUCCAUUCCAAAGCUCAGAUUAGGUUGGUGGAAUAGGACGGUAGGUCUUCAGUCAAGGAUAUAAGAGUACCUGCAUUCCCCUGCCAGAACCUUCAAAUAAGCUCUCAAAUGCACAUGGCAUUUGCCUAUAAUUCCAAUACUUGGGAGGCAGAGACAGCAAGAACCACAUGGCCAAAGCUGCCAAGUUCUGCUGCUUACUAG